AAAUAUAAGAACAUUUUUAUUCACCUUAUUUUAUUUCAUAACAGCUUAUCUCUAGCAUAUUUACAAUUCAUCUCCUUCUACAUCUCGAAUAAUAAGUGAUUUGUUGAGCGCAAGCUAUCGUUGCGAAAAUAAUAAAAAUUAGUGCCAGACCAAACAAGAAAAGAAAUUGCAAAUUUGUCAUAUUUGUGCGAUUGGUUUGAAACCUUUUCUUUUUUUUUUUGUUGAAACUAUUUAACAAAUACUUGAAUAAUAUAGGUAAAAUGAAUAAAAUAAAAUUUGAAACCAGACUCAGGUUAAUGUAAUGCCAGCAAGCACAAACGCGCAAUAAUCAUAAAUUGCAACACUGCAUUAGUUGGAAAAGAAAAAGUAAAACAACAAUCUAAAAAUAUGAAAUAAAAUAAAUUAAAACAAAAACAAUGUUGCUGUAUAAAUUCCUUUCCACGCAGCCGUUGACUCGUUUCGAUUUUCGCUGAUUAAUCGUUGUUGUUUUUGUUUCUUUUUUUCUUUGCUUGCUUCACUUGCCCAUAAUUUGUAUGCUUUUGCUGCUUAAAUGGCCUUUGAUUCUAUUUAUUGAAAUUCUCCUUCUUCUUGUUCUUGGUAUUUUGCAAUCCAGUUUUAAAAAGCAGUCUUGUGUUUGACUUUUGUUUCAAUACAAAGUUUAGUUUACUUGGAGUUUUGUGCGUUUUUUUGUUUGUAUUUUAACUACACAUAUACAGUUGUGGCUGCCAGGAGGCUCGCUUGACUCGUAACGGUAUCAAUUGAACAACGAGUUUUCGAAGGGGUGAUUUAAACAAAAACAAAAUUUUGCUCGUGUUGUUUAUUUAUAAAUGCUGUUAAUGCCUUGACUUUUUGCUUGUGAGUUUUUGUGGCUGCAUUUUUUGUUUGUUUUUUUUGUAGUUUGCGUUUGGAUUUUUUUACAAUUUUAUUUGGAUUUAUUUCUCCUCCAAUACUUACUCUUACUUUUUUCUAGAGGUUGGGCAGUUCGUUGGUUUAGUAGGUGCACUGUGAACUUGUGUUGGCUUUAAUGUCAUAUCAUCGCUGAAAGGCAGGUUGGAAGUCGUGUCGUAUCACUGUCAAGGAAAAAACAGAAGCAAGCAAACGAGUCGACGACAACGAUGACGCCCCAGUGCCUUAGUAAGGAAAAAAUGCUUAACAAACCAACUUUUUUUCUUCAAUUUUGUAUUUUUGUCUUUUAAAAUGUUGUUUCGCUUCCCAUGCACAAGAGAUCAAACGACUGAUAUCAACAACUACAGAUUGGAGCAAGCCGUGAACCAUCUAAGAAAACUUAUGUAAAAAAUUAACUAAAGGGUGAUCAGACUGGAGAUUUCCUUCAUAUUUCAUCAUGUAGAGGCCUACGCCUCAACAACGUUUACAAAGCGUACAAUCGUAUUACGACCAUCAUCCCUCUAUGAAAAGUGUUCAUAACGCGCUCAGGACCCGAAUUUUGUUCAGCGAUGAGGCACAUUUUGGGGAAAAUGUUUAUGUUAAUAAACAAAAUUGUCAUAUUUGAGCUGAAGAGCAACCUGAAGCUAUUCAUCCAUUCAUCCAUCAACAGCCAUUGCAUCCAUUGAUAACAACUGUUUGGUGCGGCCUACAGGCUGAAGGAAUAAUCUUCCAAGACGAAGCUGGCCCCAAUGUAACAGUGAAUGGCAAAGGCUAUCGCGCCAUGAUAAACGUCUUUUGUUGCUGGAAAUUGCAGCCUGUGAUCUCCACCACAUUUGGUUCCAACAAUACGGCGGACGGCACUACUUGCCAUACAACCCGUGAAACAAUUGAUUUACUGCGUCAUAGUUUCAGUGAGCAAUUUAUCUCUCGUCCCGGACCAGAGGAUUGGUCACCAAAAUCGUGUGAUAUCACAUCUUUGGACUUUAAUUUGUUGGUUGGUUCGUGUGUGAUUACCAUUCGGAGUACUUAGGAUGGAAUCUCCGUGAAAUACCAAAAUGAAGAAAAAGUGUUUUUCUAAUAGUGGUCGCCUUUCGGCAGGGCAAUGGCAAACCUCCGACUGUAUUUCUAAAAAGCGUCUCAUAAAAAUAUCUGCCGUUCGGAGUCGGCUUAAAACUGUGGGUCCCUCCAUUUGUGAAACAAUAUCAAGACGCACACCACAAAUAGGAGGAGAAGCUUGGCCAAACUCCCAAACAAAUGGGUGUAAGCUCCAAUUAUAUAUAUAUAUAUAUAUGUAAAGUCUAAAUACUUCGUGUGUGAAGCAGCUUCGAUUGAGGGAUUGGAACCCAACAUAACUAAAGUUAUGCACGAGAUACCGACCGAAGUCCUGUAGCGAGUCAUUCAAAAUUGGUGUUUACGAAUGGCCGAAUUACGGCGCAGUUGCGGCGAAUAUUUAAAAGGGAUUAUCUUUAAAAAAUAAAUGUCAUGAAUGGCUCUACAAAAA